AAAGAAAGAGGUUAAGGUUGUUUGAGGGAGAAGAAAAGCUGGAGGAGUCUGAUAGUGUAGCACCAUCAUUUAGCAGUGUAAGCAGCACUGCUCAAUCCACUGGAUCAGCUGCAUUUUGGGCUGAGGCAUUGGAUAGUUUGGUGGGACCCACUACGGUUCCCUCAAGAAAAGUAAGUAGUCCCACAAAGAUGGUGAAGCUUUGAGCUUUUGGGAUGAGAAAAUGGAUGUU